AUUGAACGCUGGCGGCAGGCCUAACACAUGCAAGUCGAGCGGUAGCACAGAGAGCUUGCUCUCGGGUGACGAGCGGCGGACGGGUGAGUAAUGUCUGGGAAACUGCCUGAUGGAGGGGGAUAACUACUGGAAACGGUAGCUAAUACCGCAUAACGUCGCAAGACCAAAGUGGGGGACCUUCGGGCCUCAUGCCAUCAGAUGUGCCCAGAUGGGAUUAGCUGGUAGGUGGGGUAACGGCUCACCUAGGCGACGAUCCCUAGCUGGUCUGAGAGGAUGACCAGCCACACUGGAACUGAGACACGGUCCAGACUCCUACGGGAGGCAGCAGUGGGGAAUAUUGCACAAUGGGCGCAAGCCUGAUGCAGCCAUGCCGCGUGUGUGAAGAAGGCCUUCGGGUUGUAAAGCACUUUCAGCGGGGAGGAAGGCGGUGAGGUUAAUAACCUCAUCGAUUGACGUUACCCGCAGAAGAAGCACCGGCUAACUCCGUGCCAGCAGCCGCGGUAAUACGGAGGGUGCAAGCGUUAAUCGGAAUUACUGGGCGUAAAGCGCACGCAGGCGGUCUGUCAAGUCGGAUGUGAAAUCCCCGGGCUCAACCUGGGAACUGCAUUCGAAACUGGCAGGCUAGAGUCUUGUAGAGGGGGGUAGAAUUCCAGGUGUAGCGGUGAAAUGCGUAGAGAUCUGGAGGAAUACCGGUGGCGAAGGCGGCCCCCUGGACAAAGACUGACGCUCAGGUGCGAAAGCGUGGGGAGCAAACAGGAUUAGAUACCCUGGUAGUCCACGCUGUAAACGAUGUCGAUUUGGAGGUUGUGCCCUUGAGGCGUGGCUUCCGGAGCUAACGCGUUAAAUCGACCGCCUGGGGAGUACGGCCGCAAGGUUAAAACUCAAAUGAAUUGACGGGGGCCCGCACAAGCGGUGGAGCAUGUGGUUUAAUUCGAUGCAACGCGAAGAACCUUACCUGGUCUUGACAUCCACAGAACUUUCCAGAGAUGGAUUGGUGCCUUCGGGAACUGUGAGACAGGUGCUGCAUGGCUGUCGUCAGCUCGUGUUGUGAAAUGUUGGGUUAAGUCCCGCAACGAGCGCAACCCUUAUCCUUUGUUGCCAGCGGUUCGGCCGGGAACUCAAAGGAGACUGCCAGUGAUAAACUGGAGGAAGGUGGGGAUGACGUCAAGUCAUCAUGGCCCUUACGACCAGGGCUACACACGUGCUACAAUGGCAUAUACAAAGAGAAGCGACCUCGCGAGAGCAAGCGGACCUCAUAAAGUAUGUCGUAGUCCGGAUUGGAGUCUGCAACUCGACUCCAUGAAGUCGGAAUCGCUAGUAAUCGUAGAUCAGAAUGCUACGGUGAAUACGUUCCCGGGCCUUGUACACACCGCCCGUCACACCAUGGGAGUGGGUUGCAAAAGAAGUAGGUAGCUUAACCUUCGGGAGGGCGCUUACCACUUUGUGAUUCAUGACUGGGGUG
rnacentral:rRNA from 1 species